CUACGUGCCAGCAGCCGCGGUAAUACGGAAGGUCCGGGCGUUAUCCGGAUUUAUUGGGUUUAAAGGGAGCGUAGGCCGGAGAUUAAGUGUGUUGUGAAAUGUAGACGCUCAACGUCUGACUUGCAGCGCAUACUGGUUUCCUUGAGUACGCACAACGUUGGCGGAAUUCGUCGUGUAGCGGUGAAAUGCUUAGAUAUGACGAAGAACUCCGAUUGCGAAGGCAGCUGACGGGAGCGCAACUGACGCUGAAGCUCGAAAGUGCGGGUAUCGAACAGGAUUAGAUACCCUGGUAGUCCGCACGGUAAACGAUGGAUGCCCGUUGUCAGGCUGUUUCAGCCUGGUGACCAAGCGAAAGCAUUAAGCAUCCCACCUGGGGAGUACGCCGGCAACGGUGAAACUCAAAGGAAUUGACGGGGGCCCGCACAAGCGGAGGAACAUGUGGUUUAAUUCGAUGAUACGCGAGGAACCUUACCCGGGCUUGAA
rnacentral:rRNA from 1 species